UGCGCGGUUCCCUUGUGCGUCUAGUAAAACAAUACACAACAAUAAUCUCCCGUAGCUAUAUACGCACGGCUGUUUGACACAACUACACCAAUUACCAGCUCACAACUGAGAACAUCUCACAAUAUACACGAAACAAACAAUCAAGCUGCCUAUUUGUUGACAAUACUUUGGCAGCAUGUCACCUAACCCAUAAUCUUCUUCAGCCAGAGGUUACUCACUAUCCAUGAUGGGCACAAGCUUAGGCACAGUUACAAUCGCAGGGUUUAUAGACCUGCCGGCUUUCUCUACAAGAAAGGCAACAACGCAAUUUUCUAGCACGUCUUCUUGACCUCACGCCUUCGUGUGGUAGCAACUUGUUAUUUUAGGCUACAUGAGAGUCUAACUCGCAACGUAGUUAAAGGCCUACCUCGACCGGCUACUGAUCUCUAUUCGACCGCGUGUACUCCUUCGGGCAGGAAAUCUAGUGUACUGUGCCGAACAGCGCCGUGUAGGAAGCGAGCUUACAGCUUCCCGGCGUACUCGUUGCAAUUACUCACUUGAUACAGAGCACGUGUCAUAGGAUCAGCUAUGCCGUAGAUUACAUACAAUACGCAUACGUAUGAGGCAAGCACGGGAAUAGGAGCAGCCCAAUAUGCACUUAUUGGAGUAAUGGAAGCGUUUUUUAUUUAUAUUGUUCUAACGCUUAUAUAUGACGUUUUUUUUUUUAUCGGCUUAACUUAUACCUGUUGUUACAUCUCGGUUCGUGUCGAUCUUCUAUUUGGUUCGUCCUGCUAAGCGCCGAUGAUUCGUUUAUCAUUCGGUUGACGCUUACAGUUUCGUCCCUGCCGUUCUUGUCUCCCUUUGCGCAUAGUGCGUGGUAACAACAAUGGGAAGCGGCUUUGUCGUGUGUAAACGCCACUGCAGUUCUAUCAGAGGCGGAGAUAGCCUUGCCGCCCACUCGCGUUUUUGGACGCUACUUGUUCGGGUCCGUUUGCGUUGGGCUGGAGCAAAAAAUAAAGAGCCUCCUGGAUCUUAAGCUGAUCCGUUCGUAAAUUUCGUCUUUGUUUUGUCAGAUGGAUUCUGCAUGUAAGCUCAGCAUACGUUUGACUUGAUGUGAUUGGUAUUUAUUGCUAUGUAAUUUUUCUACGUUUGGUUUAGAUCCACUGUAGAACGCUCCUGGUGUUCUCCAUAUAUAUAUAUAUAUAUAUGAGGCUUUGUUUGUUCAGCCGAGCUCUUGUGUUCCCAGGUAAACUAACCGUAUACCACUGGAUUGAUCACUUAGAUCACUGGCGAUGCUAGCGGCGUUAUUUGAAGCUUCUGUCUGGUUGUUACAAGCACCCUAUUAUACAUCAUAACUGGUAAAAGCGACCGGUUAGUUUCAGACCAAUCGUAAUGAUCUAGCUAGGAUCUAAGUAGGUACAUGUGGGCCAACAUGGCAUGAGCACAGCACAAAGGCUGAAAUAACAAAUGAUGUUAUGCUAUUGGGAAUCCAAUUGACGAGUAACAGCCGCAGCUUGGUGAACGUCAGACGUUCGCGUAACGUACAGAGGCGCGCGCGCACACACACACACACCACAAUACGGAAACGUCGCUUGUAAAGGAUCCGGUCCAACGAGUAGACCUCGUUGUCGGACUCGACUACUGGCCAAAUCGGCCGCCUUUUCCCACACGUUCCGAAAUGGAACUCCGCUACACUGCUCUGCCGUCGUGAGCACUCUGUUGAGUCUCAGCGAUACUCACUCACGUUGGAUUUGAACGCUAUAGGGCGACGUUGCGCCCGGGCCGAAUGCCGCCAGGCGACUUUAUACUACUAACCUAUGUACAGCUAGCAUAUCGGCUCAUAGCAGAGCUUUCCGAGCAGCUCUGAAUCAACCUGUCAGCCCUGUUUUACCGCUCCGUGCUAGAUCUGUCGGGAACUGUGUUCGGCUAAAUCUACCUUACUAAGCGUUACGGGAAACACACUAAACGAGCGGAUUCUGUGUAGCGAUGAAAAAAAGAAUGCCACCGCCAGUACAGAUAUUUUCAACAAUGUCGUAUGACGAUUCAGUGGUGGGUUUGAACAAUAUUGCCUCAAUAGGAAAAGUAAUGAUAAUAGCAGUCGUAAUGUUAGACGUUGUUCUUGUUACGAUUGUUGACAUUACGAUACCCGUACCAGUCAGUCGUGUGUUGUCCUUCCACUGAUAGGGAUGUUCGAGAGUGAGCUUUGUCGAACGCCCAAUUUGGCACCAAUUGACCUGGGCUGAUCGUUUACAAAAUACAGCCACUGCAGCACAGGAGCAAACGCGUGUGAAUAAUUAGAAUAUUCGUCUGCGGCGAAUCAUCCCCGCAUUACACACACACGUUAACUAUAGUAAUAUAACCAUUUGCCAUGUAUCGACAAACGGUUCCGCACUGUCAACUAUAUGAAGCAAAUCUUCCAUGAUUCUUCUUCGUGUCUUCUACUCCAAUCAACGAGCGUCGUUUUAGUGCAUUUCGGCUCACUUUUAAUCAUCUCACUUCCGCUGCCUUCUAUACGUCACUCUUUCAUUCAGUUCUACCCCCGUACUGCAGCCCACAGCCCUUCACCUUCACCCUCACCCUCAGUUGCGCUUGUCAUUCAUUUGAUCGUCGCAAAAUUAUCGCCGAUAAAUGUCGUCGUCAUCAUCCAUCUAUUGUCUGAUCCGGAUGACGGUUGGCUUGGCCAAGUGAUAUGAGCCGUGAGUUGUGUUUCACAGACGGUUAACGAAACAAACCAUCUGUCCUAUGCACGAGCAAAUCAGUCCGGCGGCCACGAAUGAACGUACCGACAGCAUACGCCCCGCAGCACAACUGCUCGUGUCAGAAACGGCGGUGGCAGCAAACUGACGGUGUGUAAUAAACAACAAAUACACUUGUCCGCGAGCAACAAAUAAGCAAUAGAAGGGGGUGGUCAUGUACAGCAGGAACAGCGAUCGACAUCGACUCUUAAACUGAAGUACACAAGGGCGAGCACACCGCUGCCAAUGACGACGAACUGCUGCUACCGCUUGUGCCGCACCGGGGUGACGAGCUCUCUCAGCCGCUGACUCAGCACAGCACAGCACAGCAGCAGCAGUGACGACGACGACGACGACACCACAACUAGACUGUUCUUGACUGCAACCGCUCACGGCGACACGGCCAAACGGAUUGUUCGUUCGUUCGUUCGCAGCAUCAAGUCCGACAGCACCGAGUAGCAACAGCGGUCAGUAGAAACUGCUGCAGCAGCAGCACACGAACGAAACGAAUGGCUGCUGUGGCGGCCGAAGAAACAAUCAAAAAGAGCCACAAUAGCGGUGUCUGUUGUGAGAACCUCUUUCGUUCGACUGUCCAACUUGACCGUCUGUCCAGUCCGUGAGCGCUCGCUGUGUCGGCCUGUGUUCUGGCCUAUUCGCUCCGGCGCCGACGCGAUGUCAACGACGACAACGGCGACGAGGACCUCCUCCGCUGCUGCUGGCGCCGCCGCAACUGGUCAGAUGAGUUCGUCGCCUAGUGCUCACUCACGACAAAUGUGCUAGCGUUACGCUCGCUCACCGACUACUCUAGCAGCCGGCUUCCGCGCCAGCGAAAUCGAAACCACUCACGAAUUAUGUAAACAAUACGACCAAUCGCUAGUAGGAAUGGUGGCAACAAUCAUAGCCGUUACCUAAAUUAGUUUACUAGAAGAAUGAGUAGUUGAUCACAAAAACUAUUACAUAAUAAUAACAACAUUCCGUAACAAAUUUGGAAAAGUCGGAACUCCAGUGUGCUAGCUUUGCAAACACUCCUUGUUGCGCUCGUCCGCUCAAAAUUGCCGUUUAAUGUUUGUCGUAGCAGCUUCGCUAUAGAGAUGAUAAUAAAACGGCAAGAUAAAAGGGUAGCGUCAGCAGAAGAGUAGUUGCAUUGUCGCGCGAGAUAGCAUAAAUAAAUUAUUUAUCGUAGAAACAACAAACGGAAACGAGUUGGAAUCGAUGCAAAAUCAAUCCCACUAUCGUAACGACGGGUUAACUGUGACGAGAAUCGGGAUAUAUCACAAUCUAUAGAACAGAGUUGUGUGUGUGUAUAGGUGCGCAGAUCGUCCGACGGCAGACCAGAUUGUUGCUGCUGGUAGAGAGGAAGCCGUGAUCUGGGACGACAGCGCGGAAAUGAACACUAUUAUCGAAUUAACUCGACUGAAAACUUUAGCGGAUCGUUCAUCCUAGGUUCGAACCCCGCCGUGAACAUGUUUAGAGAAACAGGCGGUUAUGGUUAUGGAAGAGCAUGUUAUUUGUACGCGGUUGAUCUGACGGUUACUAAAGACGAUAGUAGAAGUUCGAACACCAUUUUGUCUUCAGAAAACCGACAAAAUAUAUUAAAUUCGUGGCCGGAUUUGCAGUUUCUCUCAUGGAAUUCUAACGCCUUUUCUCGCUCCACAUAACUAGGAAGCCACACUAGAUACAUAACGAUAUUAGAUUUCCAAGUAGUCGUACUUCUUAGAGAAAAACUACGAAUCGUAGUUAGCUUGAAGCGAGUGGAGCGACGUCUGCAACUGGUCGUCAUCAUCAACCGUGCGGCAAGGUUCAGAUGCUAUCACCGAUUAAGACGAGCACGAUCAAGCAAUGAUGUUAUGUGCUUGAUGCCAAAUACCCAUACUGCAAAGCCCACAAUUCAUACAUAAGCACGCGUCAGCUGUUAUUUUUACCCAAUGUCAAUAUUGUUCGCGCACCUAUAUGAACGUCACAUGGUUACAAGGAGCCGAGCACGCGCAUCUUACGAGCUCGAUAGUCGUAAAGUCCGGGGAAACUUCACAACCGAAAAUUGUGCGGCACUUCAGACCGAAGCUGGGCCAACAGAAUAUCCUAGCCGUCCUCGUGCUACUACUGUAAUCAAAUACAAGUACAGGGACUAUCAAAAACCUGUCAAUAUGAACGUGAUUGCCCAGUGAAUCAACAGGCCUUCCUUUAGGCAUUAGUACAGCGUGGUGAUGAUAGGAUACUGGCUCGUAACUGUCGGGAGUGGGUUAAGGCCAAUUACACCAGACACAGGUGUAGUCCAAUCUCAGGUAAAUUUAUUAUUAUAAUUAUUUGCAAAAUAGGUUCCGCUAAGUGUGCAGCAAUUAAAGAAAACAGUUGCAGCUCAAUCUAUGGAACCAUCGACCUCAUCGAUCAGUGUCAUCACAGUUAUAUCUAUCAAAUGACGAAAAAAAUAUUCGACUCUCUUACCUGUUGACGGUAAGUUUUAUAGAGGAUUCCGUAAAAUCCCGCAUAUUCUGCCGGCGCAAACAAUAUCCCGUCGCGCACACCCUAGUAACUUGUCCACUCUAUGUUUCGCAACUUUUGGAUGAGACUAUAGAGAGCUUAGGGCAAGCUAUAUUGACGUGAUGACGUUUUCCAAUAUACUUGAUAAUAAAAGUCGUGCCUUUUUCAGCACUAGUAGUCAAUUAUUCAAUUUUUUGCAAGCUUUCUAACAUCACAUUAUCGCCGCAUCCGGCUUCUGCAUAACAACACUCCAGAAUUUCGUUCUGAGGGUGAU